rnacentral:misc_RNA from 3 species
CAAGUUGACCCCGGCCCUCGGGCCGGGAUGUUCACAACCCUUUGUUGUCCGACUCUGUUGCCUCCGGGGCGACCCUGCCUCCGGGCGGGGGCCCCGGGUGGACAUUUCAAACUCUUGCGUAACUUUGCAGUCUGAGUAAAUUUAAUUAAUAAAUUA